rnacentral:rRNA from 1 species
UGAGGAAUAUUGGUCAAUGGACGAGAGUCUGAACCAGCCAAGUAGCGUGCAGGAUGACGGCCCUAUGGGUUGUAAACUGCUUUUGUUUGGGAAUAAUCGACAUUACGUGUAAUGUUUUGCAUGUACCAUUCGAAUAAGGACCGGCUAAUUCCGUGCCAGCAGCCGCGGUAAUACGGAAGGUCCAGGCGUUAUCCGGAUUUAUUGGGUUUAAAGGGAGUGUAGGCGGUUGGUUAAGCGUGUUGUGAAAUGUAGAUGCUCAACAUCUGACUUGCAGCGCGAACUAGCUGACUUGAGUACACACAACGUAGGCGGAAUUCAUGGUGUAGCGGUGAAAUGCUUAGAUAUCAUGAAGAACUCCGAUUGCAAAGGCAGCUUACGGGAGUGUUACUGACGCUUAAGCUCGAAGGUGCGGGUAUCGAACAGG